rnacentral:rRNA from 1 species
UACGGAGGAUGCAAGCGUUAUCCGGAAUGAUUGGGCGUAAAGCGUCCGCAGGUGGCUGUGUAAGUCUGCUGUUAAAUAGUGAGGCUCAACCUCAUAAAGGCAGUGGAAACUACACGGCUAGAGUGCGUUCGGGGCAGAGGGAAUUCCUGGUGUAGCGGUGAAAUGCGUAGAGAUCAGGAAGAACACCGGUGGCGAAAGCGCUCUGCUAGGCCGCAUCUGACACUGAGGGACGAAAGCUAGGGGAGCGAAUGGG